UUUUCCUAUUUGGAUGCCUUUUAUUUCUUUCUCUUGUUCGAUUGCUCUGUCAAGGACUUCCAGUACUAUGUUGAAUAGGAAUGGUGGGAGUAAGCAUCUUGUUCCAGUUUUGUCUUGUUCCAGUUUUCAAGGCGUAUGAUUUCAGCUUUUGCCCAUUUAGUAUAAUAUUGGCUGUGGGUUUGUCCUAUAUGGCUCUUAUAAUUUUCAGGUAUGUUUCUAAAUGUCCUCCAGCACAAUGGCAAGUGGUCCAAGAUGCUCUAUAUCCAGGCUUUUGCCAAUUCCCUCUAUCAGUCCUGUUCACCUUACCAGCUGCUCCUCUUAAACAAGAAAUCUGCCAAAAUGCCUCCCCUUCCAGACAAGCCCUCCUCCUCCUCCUCCUCUGAUUUUUAUCUUCCACCAGGGCCUGAGCUGUGAGAAACAUCCUGUCAGGCAGGUCCCAGGCCUAACCCCUGGCUGCACUAAAUUCCUUCAUUAUCAGCAGCCAAACACACCGCCCCCACCCCAUUUUCACAACAAUCCCAGACCUCUC
rnacentral:lncRNA from 1 species